rnacentral:ncRNA from 1 species
GGUUCCCCAUAGGGCGAUAAAGCUUGGGGAUCAAAAGGGAACACGGAGGAGUCGACCCAACUGGGGACUUUCAACCGUGGCUGCCCCCGCAACUGUAAGCGGUGAGUUUCGACGCCUACAAAGCCACUGGGCAACCGGGAAGGCGGCGUGAAGCGAAGAACCGCAAGCCAGGAGACCUGCCGUCCAG